CAAACCCGCGGUGAGAGCGAGACUUAGCUGGAAUUCUCCCUCCCCUCCGCGGCCGCAGCGUCCCCUGCCGAGCCGGCCUCGCCGCCCUCGAGGACGAGCAUACAGUAAUCGUACUUUCCUGUUGCCUUGAGUUCGGGCAAGCCCGUGGGACUUUCUUUGGCGGCCGAGGAGAUGCGUUUAGAGGUGAUUUGUGUCACAUCAAGCAGCCACCUGGCCACGGAAGCCAUGGGAGCAUGUCAAGAGGGAGCCUCCGUCAACUUGGUUUCGUAGGUGACUUGGAUGAGCAGAGACACCCUGGUGACCUGCGCUGAACACAUGGGAGGCACAAGAAAUGAACUUUUGCUGUGCUACGCCACUGACAGUUUUGUUACAGUUGCACAGCUUGGCCUAUCCUGACUGAUAGAGUUGAUAUUCUAGAGCCAUUGUUUUUUUAACUGAAGGAGGAGAGGUUUUGUUUCUUUUGCUUCUUUUGCGGAAGGAAGUGGAAGGGAUGGAAAGGACAAAGACAAUGGAAGGAGGUGGCAUGUAUCUCCAUGCAGGCUCUUGGUCUCGUUGGAAGCCCCAGUGGAGAAAGAAGUUGAGUUGGAAGCCGAAGGAACUCUUUUCAUGGGUAAACUUCAGAGAGCCUUGCCGUAAGUUUUUAGGCCUGACAAAGAAAUGCUCUGAGAUCAGGAGAGGGUUGUGUUCUGCACCUGUCUCCCACGACCCAGCAGAGCCAUGGUGUCUCGUGGACCGGUGGUUGGGGAGUAUCCUGGCACAGCUCCCCUUUAUCAGAUAUUGGUAUUUCCACACAGGGGAGCAGCAAAGGCAGGUGUGACAUCCUGAAGUGACAGCAGGAGCAGGAGAACAUGGGCAGCAGCUUGAAAUUUCCUGGUGACACCUGCCGUUGAGACCCCGGCUUCGAGAAUCCAUUAAUUCUUCUCCAUCUGCUUGGAUCGAUAGCUUAGGCAACCCUGGGCAUCAUGGUUUUGUGCACCCCAGAGCCACCUUCCUCCUGAAACAUCGUGUAAAAAUCUGGGACAAUGCUAACAGAGCAAACAGCAUUUAUUCUCUUUAUAGUCAAUGGCAAAUGGUUAUAUUUGUUAAUAGUGUUAUAUUUCUUUCAAAUAUUAUACCUUAAAAUUUAUAAAGGUCUUUCCAAUAAAUUAACGCAAUUUCUCACCCCA
rnacentral:lncRNA from 1 species